UUUAUUAUUAAUUUCUUCUUGAUUGUGUUCUUGCAGAUAUUGAAAUAGAAUCGUACACACACAGUUGGUAUUCCAAACCUUUGAUCAUUAAAACUGUAUGCUGCAACUUCUCACUCAUGCUUAUUUGUUCACAUUUUGAACUAUAUAAGAAAGUAACAAAUAACAGGGUUGAUGUCCAUAUCCAAAUUACAUAGUUAAUAACUUAAUAUCAUUUUAUUUGUUUUGUUGUAGAAAAUUUGUUCGGUUUAAUGGCUCCAGCAACAAGCGACAACAACAACACCAGCAGUAACAAAGACUAUGACGACACCCAAAGCGACAACAACGACAUAUUUGCAGACGAGAAAGCUGAAAAAGAUACUAUGUGGGCUACACAUGGUGGAAAGUUUGAGUGUAAUAAGUGUGACCCUCGCUUUGAAACAAAAGAGCAAAAGAAUGAGGAGCACAGUAGCAAAAAAUAAAGUUUCCACCUUUUUAGAUUAAACUUUGUGUGUGGUGUGCUUCUUGUUUAGGUGUGUCGGGGUGGUGUGGUGUGUUUCUUAGGUGUGUGGGUGUAUUGUGGUGUGGUGUGCUUCUUGUUUUAACAGUUUGAUAGUAAAAGUUUAAGUUCUAUUUGUGGGUAUGUGUGAUUGAAAUAAACAAUCUGGAUACAAAUUUUUCUUUUAGAAUUCUCUCAGAUUGUAUACUCAUCA
rnacentral:lncRNA from 1 species